rnacentral:rRNA from 1 species
AGCAGCCGCGGUAAUUCCAGCUCCAAUAGCGUAUAUUAAAGUUGUUGCAGUUAAAAAGCUCGUAGUUGAAUUUCGGGAUCAAUAUAUUGGUCAUGCUUAGGUAUGUACUGGUAUUAUUGAUUUCUCCCUUCUGAAGAACCAUGAUGUCAUUAAUUUGAUGUCGUGGGGAAUCAGGACUGUUACUUUGAAAAAUUAGAGUGUUUAAAGCAGGCUUUCGCUUGAAUACAUUAGCAUGGAAUAAUGAAAUAGGACGUUUGAUUCUAUUUUGUUGGUUUCUAGGAUCGACGUAAUGAUUAAUAGGGAUAGUUGGGGGCAUUAGUAUUCAAUUGUCAGAGGUGAAAUUCUUGGAUUUAUUGAAGACUAACUACUGCGAAAGCAUUUGCCAAGGAUGUUUUCAUUAAUCAAGAACGAAAGUUAGGGGAUCGAAGACGAUCAGAUACCGUCGUAGUCUUAAACCAUAAACUAUGCCGACUAGGGAUCGGAUGAUGUUAUUUUUAAUGACUCAUUC